rnacentral:rRNA from 1 species
CCUACGGGAGGCAGCAGUGAGGAAUAUUGGUCAAUGGGCGGAAGCCUGAACCAGCCAAGCCGCGUGAAGGACGAAGGUGCCAAGCAUUGUAAACUUCUUUUGUCAAGGGACAAAAUCAGGCUCGAGAGCCUGACCGAGGGUACUUGAAGAAAAAGCAUCGGCUAACUCCGUGCCAGCAGCCGCGGUAAUACGGAGGAUGCGAGCGUUAUCCGGAUUUAUUGGGUUUAACGGGUGCGUAGGCGGGCUGUUAAGUCAGCGGUAAAAGCCCGGGGCUCAACCCCGGCGAGCCGUUGAAACUGGCUGUCUUGAGAUGUCGAGAGGUAUGCGGAAUGCGCAGUGUAGCGGUGAAAUGCUUAGAUAUUGCGCAGAACUCCGAUUGCGAAGGCAGCAUACCGGCGGCGAUCUGACGCUGAGGCACGAAAGCGUGGGUAUCGAACAGGAUUAGAUACCCGAGUAGUC